CCAUCACGUUUUAGUCGACCCUGUGCCCACAUCAGCGAAGCCGGCGGCGAUGGCGGCGGCUCCAGAUGUUGUAUCAAUCCAUCCCCACCUGGUCCCGAUGUGUAUUGAGGAAGACAGCUCCAUCACCCCUUCUCUCAUGUGGCGACAAUGGCGUCCUAGCGAUGGCGGCUACAGGGCGUCAAGCCAACUUGGUCCGCCCCUAGAUCUUGCUGGUAGAUCCUCUUCCCCGCGCAACAAGAUCCCGAUCCACAUCCGCACGGCUGCGAGAUAGACUUUUCAGAUACUUUUAUUUCGGAUUGGAUGAUCUAGAUGUUGUUCUAAUUUUCGAUAUUUGAUCCCACAUUGAUGACAUUAUGUUGUAGACUGGGUGGAGGACUAUCUGGAGAAACAAAGAAACCCACCUCCCCUCCCAGAUCAAGCCUGGAAAAUGGAAAUGUUAGUGGAUUGGCUUUGCCAUUCAAGAAAAAUGAAAACUUCAGCCCACUGGGUCACACGACGACAAGGAAAUUAGCCAUAGCAUACAUGGAUCAGCAUCACAGGUUAAUGGUGCAUGCUCCUAGGAAGGGUCAUCACAAGAAAAUAAGGAAAGCCGCAGCUUACUCCAAUCGUCAGCACAUAAACAUGAAGAAUACUGUUGCCCUGAAAACUUGAUAUUGCACAAAGGUGAUGAUAUGAUGGGAUUCACCUGCUGGAGAGGUGCACACAAAUUAUGGGGUUGAGACCAGAGCAAGGAAGCGGAUGAGGCAAGAGUCCGCAGCUGGGACGACGGCGAAGCGGAAGAAGGGUGGAGGCUUAAAGAAAUCUCUACAGAAGAAGAGGAGUGCAGAGCAGGAGGCCCGGCAUCGUAUUCACACUUGCAUCUCUAGUGUAUCAUGACAUUUUGUUUAUCCAGAUGUAUGUGAUCUUGUAUUAGAUGAUUGUUAUGCUGAAAUUUAGCUAUAUACGCAAACAGUAAAGUCUUCUUGUGAGCAAAAGCGAGUUCUGUAUGCAUGUCACUGAUUGUAGUUACAAAAUCAGAGAAGCAGUUUACUAGUUUGUGAGA